rnacentral:lncRNA from 1 species
GUUUGGGAGAUUACACCGAAACCAGGUAACCCCCCCGCGCGCGCGCCUACCGCCAGACGUGAGUUUGUCGCUUCUGCGCCAUUCUGUACACGCGGCCGACGGCCUGUUCUUCUUCUGCUCGGUUGAGGGGGACUUCGAGGAAAAUCACGUGGUUCGCCUCUGUCAGCGUCAAGCCUCGGCCGGCGCGGAGUAAGCUGCAGAGCAAGACGCGCGCGUCUGGGUCGUGGCGGAAACACCGGAGCUUGGCGAGCUCGGCCUUGCUGUGCCCGCCCAGAUACUUUAGGCUCGCCACGCCUGUGCGCCGAAGAGCGACUUGCAGCAAAUCGAGCGCCGACGGCCACUCGGAGAAAAUCAGGAUUUUCGAGGGGAGCGCGGGCGGAGUCGCAGAAGCCGCAAGGGAAGCAUCCAGUGGUGAGUCGCCGAGAAGCGCCAAGACUUUCUCGAUGAUCGCCGCGAACUUGGCCGAGUACCGGCGGCGAAGACGCGCACGGAGGGACGCAGCCUGCGCAUGGAGGCGAACAUGAAGAAAGAGAAUUGGGAACGGCCGCGCGUGGAAAGAAAUAUCGACAGCAAAAGAGCGAGAAAAGAUCGCGGAAGAGGGGGGAGACCGACAACGGCGGUAUGGACGGCUCGAUACAAACGAGAGACGGAUUUGAAGUAGCAUGCAAGAGGUACGUGAAGCGGGAAAAGGGGAGGAAAAGGAACCCGAGGAAAGGGACAGAGAGAGAGCACAAAAGGAAAUGCGCGACUGAUCCAAGGACAAAGACCGACGGAAAACGAGGAAAGAAGGAAAAAACGAGGAGGCUGCCAGGAGCAAAUCAAAAAUGGGAGAAUCGAGGAACGCUGCGCUGAGAGCCCCGAAAGAAGCAAGACACGUCCCCGCGACAAAAACAACGACACUCGCUUCCCUGCAUUCACCACGUGUCUCUGCUGCGAAUGCCUGAUCGACAUUUCCCGUGCACCUCCGAAACCUUCACUGCGGCCUGCUCUGUCUUUUCUCCCCUCCCACAAAACACGACCUUACCUGGACGCCAGCAUCGUCUUCCUCGCCUCUGUCUUUCUCCUGCUUCUCUGUCCGUGACGCUUCUCCUUCCCUCUCCACCCCCUCCGUUUCCAGCCUGGACGCCCCUCGCACGUCUUCGCCAUUCAGAGGGAAACCCGUCUGCGUCUCCGAUUCUCCGUUCCCGGUUCUCAGGCGCGAGGUGGCUCCGCCCAGUGCUGUCCCGUCUCUCCCUCCUGCCUGCUGGCCUUCUUCGCCCGCCCGAGGCGAACCCGUUUUCGCCUUUCUGGCGGCUCUUUGCUUUGUUGGAGUCGAGACGGCUGCGCGGUCGGAGCCCUGAGAGCCACUCGCUCGCGAGAUCAAAGCAACCUGCGACGGGGCGAACGGGUGACGGCAGACCGGACACCGGCGGAGGCAGUGCGUGGAGGCGCUGAAGGUCGAGAAGGGCGAAAAAGGCAAGGCGCCGCUCCGCCCGAGUCUCGCAGACUGGUGCGCGCGACUAAGCAGCGGGCUCGCCGCACUGGGCAACCCACCUGUUGUCUUCUCCAUUCCUGACAUCACAGCACACACUCGCUCCGUUCCGGUGGAGGUACAGACGCGUCGUCGAAGUUGCGAGAUCCGCACACGCCCAUCGAUGGAGCAACGACGAGUAUGUAGGAACAGCCAAAAAAGAAAGUGGAGUCACCGGGGCUCAUCCAAAAAGACAUUUCGCGCCCAAGAUACACGCACAACUCGGCACACAUCGACGGAUCGACUGCAUUCGACGCAGAUUUGGUGGGCACAAGGAAGGACAGCCUUGCAUGCGGUUUCCUCCAGUUCCACGAAGCACACUGGACACAGAGUCGAGGAUGUCUUCUGCGCUCCUCUCUCCUUUGUCUCGCAUGGCUCGUCGGAUACGCGUUCUCCCUCUCCCGCACGUGCCAGAGAGUGCGUGCUCUCGCCGUCCUCUGCCCGCCACUUUUUCCUCGCUUGCUCGUCCUCUCUUUCCUUCGGGUGUUCGUCCGGUCCUGGCCUCGCCGGCCUCGUCUCCGUUCUCGUGCUGGCCGCGACCUCUGUCGUCUGCAGUUCCAGCUGCAGACCGUCUUUUUCGUCGCUCCUGAGGGCUGCUUUUUCGCCGAUCUCUGCCUCUCUCUGUCUCUCCGUCUCUCGCGUUUCAGACCAAGGCCUCGCCCAUGACUCGCUCCGCUCUUCUGGCCGCUCCAGCGCGCCUUCGUCCCCACCUGCGUUCUUUCGACCGUGCACUCCAUUUCCUUCCUCGUUUCCCUCCGAGCCCGCCGCUUGCAGUCCCUUUCUCGACUCCUCUUUUUCCUCUCCUUCUCCCAGAGAGUCUGCAGGUGCUUUCGCGUCUGCUGAGGUGCGCCCGUGGAGCGUCUCCCUUUUCUUCUCCUCCUCUUCACGAAGGUUUUUGAGGUACCGGUGCUGGCGGUGCGCUUUCUCGAGGUCUCCCGCAGUGAUUCCGAGUUCGAGCAACAGCGAGUGUCUCAUGGAGGCGACGUCGGCGCCUGCCACGGCGAAAGCGUCCACGAGCGAAGGCGGCGGCGGAAACGGCGAAUUCGCAAGAGACGCGAGCGCAGAUCCCGAGGCGGUCCAAGAACUCGGCCGCUUCCGCCCUGCGCCAAGAGCGAGGCGACGAUAGGCCAGCUCAGCGAGUUCCUCGUCUCGGCUCUUCAGCCGAAAACGCGAGAUACUGAUUUGGAGCUCGUCGAGGGCCGAGAGAACCUGCCGACUCGCGAAAAAGUACGCAUCUGCAGCGACAGACUCCUGGGGAAAAACGAGACCACGCAGAAUCCAGCGCAGUGAACUGCGGAUCUGAGGACCCGGCGUUUGAAAAGAGAAAAACGGCAGUUCCGAGGGGCAAGACAGACACAGACACGACUUCAGACGAAGGACGGACAGAACGAGGAAAGGAGGAAACAGGGGGAGAAGACGGUCGAGACAAACGCGAGAGAAGAGGGUCGAAACAAACGCGAGAGAAGACGGUCGAGACAAACGCGAGAGAAGACGGUCGAGACAAACGCGAGAGAAGAGGGUCGAGACCAACGCGAGAGAAGACGGUCGAGACCAACGCGAGAGAAGACGGUCGAGACCAACGCGAGAGAAGACGGUCGAGACCAACGCGAGAGAAGACGGUCGAGACAAACGCGAGAGAAGACGGUCGAGACAAGCGCGAGAGAAGACGGUCGAGACAAACGCGAGAGAAGACGGUCGAGACAAACGCGAGAGAAGACGGUCGAGACCAACGCGAGAGAAGACGGUCGAGACCAACGCGAGAGAAGACGGUCGAGACAAACGCGAGAGAAGACGGUCGAGACCAACGCGAGAGAAGACGGUCGAGACAAACGCGAGAGAAGACGGUCGAGACAAACGCGAGAGAAGACGGUCGAGACAAACGCGAGAGAAGACGGUCGAGACAAACGCGAGAGAAGACGGUCGAGACAAGCGCGAGAGAAGAGGGUCGAAACAAACGCGAGAGAAGACGGUCGAGACAAACGCGAGAGAAGACGGUCGAGACCAACGCGAGAGAAGACGGUCGAGACAAACGCGAGAGAAGACGGUCGAGACAAACGCGAGAGAAGACGGUCGAGACAAACGCGAGAGAAGACGGUCGAGACAAACGCGAGAGAAGACGGUCGAGACAAACGCGAGAGAAGACGGUCGAGACAAACGCGAGAGAAGACGGUCGAGACAAACGCGAGAGAAGACGGUCGAGACAAACGCGAGAGAAGAUUGCGAAGACUCUCGGUUUCGCGAGGUGGGAGACCCCCUCGGUCAAAAAACGCGAGAAACGCGACUUUUGCCACCUUGUUUGUGGCGCCGGAGCAGACGGGCACGCUUUUUCCUUAGCGUGGGCAUCUCGUGUGUCCUGCUGCGGGCUCAAAUUCUCACCUUCUUGACUGCUUCCAGCUCCUUCACGUGCUCGUCGGCUGCGAGGAGGAGCCGCCGAUGCGAAGCGACACUCUCGGAGAGGAAUCGUCGCAGCACGGCUCGGACGACGCGCACAACUUUCAAGAGUUCGCUUUCGCCAAAGUGGUGAAAACCGCCCUGGAGAGAGAAACCGGAGAGAAGACCAACACGACGCGCGGCCACGAACGCGAAAGAUGACCAAAGACAUUUCCCUGCUUCCCUUCCGCAGGAAAAUACGGCGGCUUCAAGAAAAGGGGGGAGAAGGAGCGAGGGAGGGGGAGAAGGAGAGAAGAAGAAAAGAGAGAAGAAAGGAAGAAAGCAGAGAAAAGAGGCACGAGAGGAGAGCACUCGAUCGAGAGAGUAAGUCUGAGAAGGCUCAGGAAAUCAACACGGGAGAAAAGAGGGCAAAGAGAUAGAGAGAGAAGAUGACGCUUGGUUUUGUGGACUUUGCCGUGAGUCCAAGCUUCUGCUGUGGCGAGUUCUUGAAGCGUCCCGCCUCCCGAGCAGACGUGGAAGACGAAAGAAAAUCGACAAAGUGAGAGCGAAACCAAACAAGGAGACGCCACGCAGAGGCCGAAAAGCCAAGAGAUACACCGGAGACGAACAGAGACCAUUUCAGAAUUUCCACUGUCUUCUUCCUUGCGUGAGUCUCCGCGGUUAUCGGCGUGUCCGGUGUCUCUGGUCUGUUCGGCAGCUCACCUCGUCUAGGCCUUUUUCGUCUCCGAUGCCACCAACGUCCUUCUCCACUCGGCUGUAGAGGAAGAACUGCAAACUGAAAACACACGAGAGUCCUCCUGUGACCGUCCUAGUCUGUGCGUCUCUGCGAGACGUCCCAGCCCCUCUCACGGUUUCCUUCCGCCUAUCUGUUCGUGGAGAUGCCUCUAGGCACCUUCUUCCUCGCGUUCUUCCCCUGUGUUUUUCGUUUCACUUCUUCUCGACUCUCUUCAUCCCCUAACCCCCGCUUCCUUUCUCGCUUGUUUCCCCACCCUGGCGUCUUGCCGAUUUUCCACCUGUUUGCUCCACUCUCUCUUUCCUUCGCCCUGGCCUCGGCCUCGAGUGUCUCCUGAGUUUCUUGACGGCUUCCGUUUCCCUCCGUGUCCAUUUUCUCUCGGAGCGUUGCCUCUUUUUCGCUCUCUUGCUUUCUUCGCUUCGCGAAAACGAGGCUUACGCCGCAAUCUUCGGCAUCAACUGACAAUGACGACACCGGCCCCGACCGGCUUGACGCGUGUUCUCGCCGCUGUCCUUCUUCCCUCUCUUCUUCGUCGCCCCCCACGAUGCUGCCGAGACGCCGUUCUCGAACCCGCUCUCUCCUCUUCCUCCUAUCGCUUUUGUCUUUUCCGUCCCCUCUGCUCUUCCUUCCUCUUUCCUCUCGUUGUUGUCUGUUCCCCCGCGCGCCGAGAAAGGAACCAUGAGUGAGUCUUGGCCGACGCGCGACGCACGCCCAGGCGCAACAACGGAGCGCGACAGAUCGUUGCAGUUCGUGC